ensembl:lncRNA
GGAAUUUAUAACAGAACAAUGAUUCUAAAGAGAUGAAAGCAGAAACGUGUGGAUUGAUGUGAGUUCAGUGGACUCUGGCCCACCUGGGCACAUUGGUCAACACAGGCAGAAGGAUUGGGCGGAAGGAGCCUUUGACUGUGUGGAUCACAACAAACUGUGGAAAAUUCUUCAAGAGAUGGGACUACAAGACCACCUGACCUGCCUCCUGAGAAAUCUGUAUGCAGCUCAAGAAGCAACAGUUAGAACUGGACAUGGAACAACAGAAUGGUU